rnacentral:lncRNA from 1 species
UCAGAUAUUGUAUCCGUCAAGUGUUUUAUUGAUCUGACAAUCUGAUUAUGGUUAUGCCCUUAGGGAGUUCCCUACCCACCUUAUAUAGGUCGGGGGGCAGGGUUACGAGGAAGAAGACCCAAUCGGACAUGACUCGGAUCCUCUAUAUAUUUACAUAAUUGUAUACUAGUAACACUUAUGGAAUAUGCCUUGAGAAACACCGCAAUAUAUAUUCCAAAGUCUAGUAUAUUUACAUAAUAUACGAAUAUGGCCCACAUCCUAUCUCCAGUCGGAUAAGCUAUCCAUGUGGGUAAAUGUUACCAUAAUCUCCACAAUAGCCUCUGAGACUUUCAUAGUCGAAAAGACAAUCUUCUCCCGAACUUAAAUCAUCAAAAGCCGAGUGCUUCAAUCAUCUUAACAAUGGUCUCCCGAGUGCUUUUACCAAAUCAUGAGGCUGUCAAGGGUUAAAAAAAUUAAAAACAAUAAGGAAUAUAUACUUAGGUGCAUCGACUAAUAGGUGUAGCCCCCGACUAUGUGAUUAGUUGAAAAACUAAAUAUACAGUCAAAGAGUAAAUUAUUCAACCAGCCAAGUGGUUUUAAUUCGCAACGGGAAAAUUAAAAUUACAUACAACAUGAGAAUCAAAGGAGAGCGAAAAUUCAGAUUACGAACAAAGUUUUAGGCAGGUCGAGAUAUUGAGCACUGAUCACCAAAACAUACAAUUAAAUAGACCAACAACAAUAAUAAGUAACACAAUCUUCCAAACCGCAAAAUGGCAUGAAACAAAUUCAGCUAAAGUUUUGAAGAGGAGCGGCAGAAGCAUCCAAACAACACCACUGUGAUACAACUCGCUCAUGUUUGCAGUUAGAAAAGAUAAUCCUCUGCAGUGUUAUUAUGUUCGUUCUCAAAACAUGCAUGCGCGUUCAGAGAAGUACAACACUUUCAGCUGCUAGCGAACAACCAAGGAAGACACUGAAGUGAUGUAUGGAGUACAGCUGUACAGGGCUACCUUUGAUACGUUAGAUUCUCUCUAAAGUUUGAAGUACAGUUCACGUCAAUAGAUAUAACCCUCCAGCACUACAAGCAAAUGACACUACAGCAUCAAAGAAAAACAUCCUACAUGUAGACAUGCUUGAUGGUUCUCUGAGUCUCAGGAUAUGAAUAUUCCGAAUUUCAGAUCAAACUGUGUAGAAAUUAUUGGGACCUCAUAUUCUUUAUCCAUCUUUUUUUAAUCGUGUGCAAAUAAUGUAAAAAUAGCCAGGCUCAUGCUCAAGGACUACUCUAUCUACUCAUAAAAGAUGAAUUCAAUCGAGUCCUUGUAAUCCAGAAAUUCCUCCAACUGCUUCCCACUGCUUAUCUGACGAAGAAAAAUAUGGGAUCAUGUUCAGGUUAUCUGGCCUAUCUAGGUGAAUCCGUUUCACUACAAGAUAAUUUAGCUAUCGCCACCAAUUUAUUACAACAAAAAAUAAUUCGUGGCGAUAUAUUGUACUAUCACAAUGAUAUUUUUUCUGUGGCAAAUAACUAUACUUUGCUGCAACGAUUUAUGAUCGUUGUUUUAUUCAGUAUUUUUGUUGUAAUAGAAAAUAAGUUAUCACCACAAAAAAACAUUACUAUUGCAAAAAAAAACAUGUUCUAUCGCCACACAUUUAAUUUUUGUGGCAAUUUGCAUAGUACAUGGUACUUUUCACUAUUUUCUAUUGCCAUGAUCAACAAAUUCGUUGUAAUAAAAAAUUUAUUAUCUCAUAAUUUAACUUAUUCUUUUCAUAUGGACACGGAUUAGGACAAAUUUUAUAUGAAAUUUAUAGUUCUCGAUGAGAUCUAAAACUUCAAUUUUUCAUUUGAAAUAUUUUAGAUACUCAAAUUCAUGAUUCAAAUCUCGUUAGGCAGUCUCAAAUAGAAUUAUAUGCAUUUUUAAAUAAAAUUGAUGCGUAGGUGAGUUGGUCAUGGAGAGCGCGCGUGAGGGAGAGAUCUUUGGUUCGAAUCCUGGCCAUGACAAGAUAUCAAAAGAAAAUAGUUAGGAUGAUAAAUUAAUAUUGAAACAUUUAAUUUGGUAUGUAGAACUAAUGCCACACAUGGAGUGGUGGCAAUAGUUAUUUAUUGCAACGAUGUGAAGUGUUGCAAUAUAUAUUUUUUGCCACAUCCAUUUUAUGGCAAUAUCAAAAUUUAUUACAACUAAAUAAAAAUCAUUGCAAUAAACUAUUACCACGCUAUUUAUUACCACGGCUAGCAACGAUUUGAAGAUUGUGGCAACAUGUAUCUAUUGCCACAAUUUUAACAUUGAUGCUAUGAUUUUUUUCGUGGCGAUAAAUUAUUUUUCUAGUAGUGUUUGUAAUAAUGAAGAGGAUUAAAACAAACCUUGCUAGAUGAUGCAAUAUAUUGUAGCAGGCAUAGAAGGCUAUAACGGCGAAUAAAAAAGGCUACAGAAGGAGAUAAUGCAAUAUAAAUAGCUGGAAAGUAGCACCAAGAGAUGAUGAACUUCUGAAAUUUUAUUGCAAGCAUUGGUAAAAAGUAGAUGUGCAAUUUAUAAAGCAAAACAUGGUAUCUUACCCAAAAUAAUGAAAAUUUCCCAUACGACAGGCGUAUCUUAGAAAUUUAAGCAAAGUGCCCCACAUAUUACUAUAAUCCUUUCAGGAAUAUUUACCUUCAAACAGUACUCAAGAUAUUUCAGAGCCAGAUCAUGACAUUAUCAUACUUGUUUGACAGGCGACAACAAUGAUAUGUGAUAGCUUGAAUCUAGUAUAUUGAAAAAAAAAUGCAUGGUUAUUGUCUGCAGGGCACAUACCCUGGGAAUAUUACUGAGCAACUUCAUUGGCAGUAUUUUAAUUCCAGAUGGUGGCAACAUUUUUAGUCCAGAUCGAUGGCUAUUCUUUCCUGCAUGCCACGCACAUUAACUGUACCACAUAUUUCAUCAAUUAUUCACCAAUUAUUGCCAAUAACUAAACAUAAGAUUUCUGGUAAAGAAUUGGGGACGACUUUGUAUAAAAGAUAGUUGUCCAGAUAAGCGAUUCAAAUAGUGCCCUGUAUGGAAUUACAUUGUGUUGGAUUUUCAUUUACCACAGCUGAUGGUCCAUUUACCUCCAUUAUGCAAUGCAAGUCAUCUCCCACAACCAAAUUGCUAGGUGAUUGAAUAUGUUUAUAAAGGCUGAAAUACACACAGUCGUAACUCUUAAGGAAUAUAUGGAAGAUGGAAAGGCAAAGUAAUGAUGCAAAAUUGUAAAGAAAAAAGACAUAAACAGACUUAAGUGAGCAAGCUGUUAUCAGGCCUACGUGUACCUUGUGCAAACUCUCGAUGGAGAGGGUGAGAGUUCAGAGAUGUAAUGCUGGUAGGCGGCGCCGGUGAGCAAAAGCACAGAGGCGCGAUGGAGGAUGACUCCGGCUACAGUGGAUCUGAGAAGAGAGAGGCACAGUGAUGG